CUCAGAGGCAUCGGGCAGCUGAGCUGUGCCCCACACAGCACCAUGAAGCUGGGGCUGCUCUGCGCCCUCGCCAUGGCCCUCCUGGCCAUGGCCAUGGCUGACCUCAAAGACUCCAAGAAGGGAAAAAUGCUCACAUGGAACAGAGAGGCAGGGACGCGCGGCGGGGGCCGGCGCCGACCACACCAGCUGUGCUCAGGGUGUUUCUCUGUGCUGAGUGAGGAGUCCAUCACAAUGUCCCGGAGCACUGGGGACGUGGAUGAAGCUCAGGCAGGCAGGCAGGACAGGAAAGGAGGAGCAGCGGUGGCCAAGCACAGCCCUGCGCCAUGAUGGAGCUGGGGGUCCCACCACCCCCUGACUGCACCACAGCCCUGAGGGGAGCCAGGGGGUCCUGCUGUGCCUCCAGCAUGAUGGGGCUGCCCAGCUGCCCCAGAGUGCUCCUGGGGGGCAGCACCCCCACCUGCCACACGAAGCUGCCAAAUAAAGCCACCAAACCAGC
ensembl:lncRNA